rnacentral:rRNA from 1 species
UGCCUACGGGACGCAGCAGUGAGGAAUAUCGGUCAAUGGGCUUACGCCUGAACCAGCCAAGUCGCGUGAGGGAAGACUGCCCUAUGGAUUGUAAACCUCUUUUGUCGGGGAGCAAAGAGAUCACGUGUGGUCAAAAGCGAGAGUACCCGAAGAAAAAGCAUCGGCUAACUCCGUGCCAGCAGCCGCGGUAAUACGGAGGAUGCGAGCGUUAUCCGGAUUUAUUGGGUUUAAAGGGUGCGUAGGCGGGACGGUAAGUCAGCGGUAAAAAUGCGGAGCUCAACUCCGUCGAGCCGUUGAAACUGCCG